UGGCGGACGGGUGGGUAACGCGUGGGUAACCUUCCUUGUACUGGGGGACAACAGUUAGAAAUGACUGCUAAUACCGCAUAAGCGCACAGUAUCGCAUGAUACAGUGUGAAAAACUCCGGUGGUACAAGAUGGACCCGCGUCUGAUUAGCUAGUUGGUAAGGUAACGGCUUACCAAGGCGACGAUCAGUAGCCGACCUGAGAGGGUGACCGGCCACAUUGGGACUGAGACACGGCCCAA
rnacentral:rRNA from 1 species